UUUAAUGAAGCCCAACAUAGUGAUCGUUUCUGUUUGGGUUAAGAGAUCUUUUCUGUUAAGAUCUUUUCUGUUGGUCUGUGCUCUGCUUAAGAGAUUUUGGCUUCCUCCAGGGUCAUAAAGAUAUUCUCCUUUGACUUCUAGACACUUCAUUAUUUUACAUUUCAUAUUUAGGUCCAUGCGAUACCUCAAGUUGAUUUUUGUUUCUGGUGACAGGUUGACAUCAAGCUGUCCUUUUUGCCCCACGUGGAUAUCCUGUCUCUCCCACGUAUGUUCAGUCGCUCAGUCGCGUCUGACUCUUUGUUACCCCAUGGACUGUCACCUACCAGGCUCCUAUGUCCAUGGUAUUUCCUUCUCCAGGGGAUCUUCCUGACCCAGGAAUCAGAACUAUGUCUCCUGUAUUGCCUACUUGGCAGGCAGAUUCUUUACCCUGAGCUACUGGGGAAGCCUCCACCAGUAAGUAAAAAGACCAUCCUUCCCCAGUGGGUCACAGUGGGGACUUUGUCAUCAACCUUCUGGCCAGCUCUGUUCUCUGUUCCAUUACACCAGGCUUUCUGCCUUCUCUCUACCAGCACCGUAUCAGCUUCAUUACUGCUGCCUUAGAGCAAGUCUCUAUUUCUGUGAGCGUUGAGCCUUCAGCUAGCAUCUGAGAGGAGCAAAUGCAUCCAUCCACACCAAGACUUGUACGUGAGUGUUCACAGCUGCUCUAAUCACAACAACCAGACAGUGGAAACAAUCCAAACAGCCAUCAGGUGACUGCGUGAACUGUGUGUUCAUACAACAGAGGAAAACUUAGCAAUAAAAAGGAAUGAACUAUUGGACUCAGAGUAACUACACUGAGUGAAAGGAGCCAGACCAAAAAAAGCACACAAUUCUAGGAAAUGCAAACUUAUCUCUCCUGACCAAAAGCUGGUGGGUGGCUGGUCUAGGAAUGGGUGGGGAUGGAGGUGCGAGAGACGGGAGUCACCAAGAGGGAGGAGAAACUUUUGGAGGUAACAGUUUCAUAGAUAGAACUUUCAGAGGUCUAGGCUUCCAAUUACGUGC
ensembl:lncRNA